CGGAGAGUUUGAUCCCGGCUCAGGAUAAACGCUGGCGGCGUGCUUUAUGCAUGCAAGUCGAACGGUCCUUCGGGACAGUGGCGAACGGGUGAGUAACACGUAAGUAACCUGUCCCUAAGUGGGGGAUAACUUCGGGAAACUGGAGCUAAUACCGCAUGUGGUCCUUCAGCAAAAGCAGAAGGAUUAAAGCCUUCGGGUGCUUGGGGAGGGGCUUGCGUCCGAUUAGCUUGUUGGUGAGGUAAUGGCUCACCAAGGCAAUGAUCGGUAGCUGGUCUGAGAGGAUGAUCAGCCACACUGGGACUGAGACACGGCCCAGACUCCUACGGGAGGCAGCAGCAAGGAAUAUUGUGCAAUGGGCGAAAGCCUGACACAGCGACGCCGCGUGGGGGAUGAAGGCCUUCGGGUUGUAAACCCCUUUUCUCAGGGAAGAAUAAUGACGGUACCUGAGGAAUAAGCCUCGGCUAACUACGUGCCAGCAGCCGCGGUAAUACGUAGGAGGCAAGCGUUAUCCGGAUUUAUUGGGCGUAAAGCGCGUGUAGGCGGCUCUUCAAGUCGGAUGUGAAAUCUCCCGGCUCAACUGGGAGGGGUCAUUCGAUACUGCUGGGCUAGAGGGCAGCAGAGGGAGGUGGAAUUCCCGGUGUAGUGGUGAAAUGCGUAGAUAUCGGGAGGAACACCAGUGGCGAAGGCGGCCUCCUGGGCUGUUACUGACGCUGAGGCGCGAAAGCGUGGGGAGCGAACAGGAUUAGAUACCCUGGUAGUCCACGCCGUAAACGAUGGACACUAGGUAUGGGGGGUAUCGACCCUCUCCGUGCCGUAGCUAACGCAUUAAGUGUCCCGCCUGGGGAGUACGGCCGCAAGGCUAAAACUCAAAGGAAUUGACGGGCGGGGGCCCGCACAAGCAGCGGAGCGUGUGGUUUAAUUCGAUGCAACGCGAAGAACCUUACCAAGGCUUGACAUGCUGGAAGUAGGAACCCGAAAGGGGGACGACCUGUUAAGUCAGGAGCCGGCACAGGUGCUGCAUGGCUGUCGUCAGCUCGUGCCGUGAGGUGUUGGGUUAAGUCCCGUAACGAGCGCAACCCUUGUUGCCAGUUAUUUUCUCUGGCGAGACUGCCCCGCAAAACGGGGAGGAAGGUGGGGAUGACGUCAAGUCAGCAUGGCCCUUAUG
rnacentral:rRNA from 2 species